AUUGAACGCUGGCGGCAGGCCUAACACAUGCAAGUCGAGCGGAUGAAGGGAGCUUGCUCCUGGAUUCAGCGGCGGACGGGUGAGUAAUGCCUAGGAAUCUGCCUGGUAGUGGGGGAUAACGUCCGGAAACGGGCGCUAAUACCGCAUACGUCCUGAGGGAGAAAGUGGGGGAUCUUCGGACCUCACGCUAUCAGAUGAGCCUAGGUCGGAUUAGCUAGUUGGUGGGGUAAAGGCCUACCAAGGCGACGAUCCGUAACUGGUCUGAGAGGAUGAUCAGUCACACUGGAACUGAGACACGGUCCAGACUCCUACGGGAGGCAGCAGUGGGGAAUAUUGCACAAUGGGCGAAAGCCUGAUCCAGCCAUGCCGCGUGUGUGAAGAAGGUCUUCGGAUUGUAAAGCACUUUAAGUUGGGAGGAAGGGCAGUAAGUUAAUACCUUGCUGUUUUGACGUUACCAACAGAAUAAGCACCGGCUAACUUCGUG
rnacentral:rRNA from 1 species